rnacentral:tRNA from 1 species
GGGUGUAUAGCUCAGUUGGUAGAGCAGUAGCCUCUUAAGCUAACGGUCGUAGGUUCGAGCCCUACUACACCCA